GGUUGCGGGGCGGGGCCUUGUGCGGCUGCGCCUAGCUGUGAAGCUGGGUGGUGGGUGGCUAUGUGGCUCCGCCGCCGGGGAUUGGGGGUGCCUUCCGCCUCAGCCUCUGAGGGCGGCAAGUCCUCCGCUUCGUGGACUGAGAUGGGGUCUUGGGUGCGGACGAUCGGCGAGAGGCUGAAGCAGCGGCUGCGGUUGGACGUGGGACGCGAGAUUUGCCGUCAGUAUCCGCUGUUCUGCUUCCUGCUACUCUGCCUCAGCGCCGCUUCGCUGCUCCUCAACAGGUAUCUUCACGUCUUAAUGAUCUUCUGGUCUUUUGUUGCGGGAGUUGUGACGUUCUACUGUUCAUUAGGACCCGAUUCCCUCUUACCAAAUAUAUUCUUCACAAUAAAAUACAAACCUAAGCAAUUAGGACUUCAGGAGUUAUUUCCACAAGGACAUAGCUGUGCUGUUUGUGGUAAAGUGAAGUGUAAGCGACAUAGGCCUUCCUUGCUACUUGAAAACUAUCAGCCCUGGCUAGACCUGAAAGUUUCUUCCAAGGUUGAUGCAUCUCUCUCAGAGGUCCUUGAAUUAGUGUUGGAAAACUUUGUCUAUCCAUGGUACAGGGAUGUGACGGAUGACGAGUCCUUUGUGGAUGAGCUGAGGAUCACCUUACGGUUUUUUGCAUCUGUCUUAGUGCGAAGAAUUCACAAGGUCGAUAUUCCAUCUAUUAUAACCAAGAAACUAUUAAAAGCAGCAAUGAAACAUAUAGAAGUGAUUGUUAAAGCAAGACAGAAAGUAAAAAACACGGAGUAUUUACAGCAAGCUGCUUUAGAAGAAUAUGGUCCAGAUCUUCAUGUGGCUUUGAGAAGUCGAAGAGAUGAAUUACAGUAUUUAAGGAAACUUACUGAGUUACUUUUUCCUUAUAUUUUGCCUCCUAAAGCAACAGACUGCAGAUCCCUGACAUUACUUAUAAGAGAGAUUCUAUCUGGUUCUGUGUUUCUUCCUUCUUUGGAUUUCCUAGCUGAUCCAGAUACCGUCAAUCAUUUGCUUAUCAUCUUCAUAGAUGACAGCCCUCCUGAAAAAGCAACUGAGCCAGCUUCCCCCUUGGUUCCAUUCCUGCAGAAAUUUGCUGAACCUAGAAAUAAAAAACCAUCUGUGCUGAAGUUAGAAUUGAAACAAAUCAGAGAACAACAAGAUCUUUUGUUUCGCUUUAUGAACUUCCUGAAACAAGAAGGAGCCGUGCACGUCCUGCAGUUCUGUCUGACUGUUGAGGAAUUUAAUGAUAGAAUUUUGCGGCCAGAGUUAUCAAACGAUGAAAUGCUCUCUCUGCAUGAGGAAUUGCAGAAGAUUUAUAAGACAUACUGCUUGGACGAAAGUAUUGACAAAAUCCGGUUUGAUCCCUUCAUUGUAGAGGAGAUCCAAAGAAUUGCUGAAGGCCCAUACAUAGAUGUUGUGAAGCUGCAAACUAUGCGAUGUCUUUUUGAAGCAUAUGAGCAUGUUCUUUCCCUCUUGGAGAAUGUGUUCACCCCUAUGUUCUGCCACAGCGACGAGUAUUUCAGGCAACUCUUAAGAGGUGCAGAAUCGCCCACACGAAAUUCCAAAUUCAAUAGAGGUAGCCUAAGUUUGGAUGAUUUCCGAAGCACACAAAAAAGAGGAGAAUCGUUCGGAAUCAGCAGAAUAGGCAGCAAAAUUAAAGGUGUAUUCAAGAGCACCACCAUGGAGGGGGCAGUGCUGCCUAGUUACGGCGUGGCUGAAGGCGAAGAUGACUUUAUUGAAGAAGGAAUUGUGGUACUGGAGGAUGACUCUCCUGUAGAAGCCGUGAGCACACCUAACACUCCUCGGAACCUCGCCGCGUGGAAAAUUAGCAUUCCGUAUGUAGACUUUUUUGAGGAUCCCUCCUCUGAAAGGAAGGAGAAGAAGGAGAGAAUUCCUGUGUUUUGUAUUGAUGUUGAAAGAAACGAUAGGCGAGCAGUUGGACAUGAGCCUGAACAUUGGUCUGUCUAUAGAAGAUAUCUUGAAUUCUAUGUACUUGAAUCAAAACUAACAGAAUUUCACGGCACAUUUCCCGAUGCUCAGCUGCCAUCCAAAAGGAUCAUUGGCCCCAAGAACUACGAGUUUUUAAAGUCGAAGAGAGAGGAGUUUCAGGAGUAUCUACAGAAACUUGUGCAGCACCCAGAGCUGAGUAACAGCCAGCUUCUGGCUGACUUCCUCUCUCCCAAUGGUGGGGAGACACAGUUUCUGGAUAAGAUACUUCCAGAUGUAAAUCUUGGAAAAAUUAUAAAGUCGGUUCCUGGGAAACUAAUGAAGGAGAAAGGUCAGCAUUUGGAACCUUUCAUCAUGAGUUUCAUUAAUUCUUGUGAAUCCCCAAAACCUAAACCGAGUCGGCCAGAACUGACCAUUCUCAGCCCUACCUCUGAAAACAACAAGAAGCUUUUCAACGAUCUAUUUAAGAAUAAUGCAAACCGCGCUGAAAACACAGAGCGAAAACAAAAUCAGAACUACUUCAUGGAGGUGAUGACUGUGGAUGGAGUCUACGAUUACCUGAUGUAUGUAGGGCGAGUAGUUUUUCAAGUUCCAGAUUGGCUUCAUCACCUUUUAAUGGGCACUCGAAUCCUCUUUAAGAACACACUGGAAAUGUACACUGACUACUAUCUCCAGUGCAAGCUGGAGCAGCUCUUUCAGGAGCAUCGGCUGGUGUCACUCAUAACCCUUCUCAGAGAUGCUAUAUUUUGUGAAAAUACUGAACCUCGCUCUCUGCAAGAUAAGCAAAAAGGAGCAAAACAAACUUUUGAAGAAAUGAUGAAUUACAUUCCAGAUCUGAUCGUCAAGUGUAUUGGUGAAGAAACCAAGUAUGAAAGCAUCAGACUUCUGUUUGAUGGCUUGCAGCAGCCAGUGCUCAACAAGCAGCUGACCUAUGUUUUGUUGGACAUUGUGAUACAGGAGCUGUUUCCAGAGCUGAAUAAGCCUGGUGACCUGAGUUUGAUCCCUGGAGCCCACAUGGUGGAAGAAGAGAACAGACUCCUCCAAGUUGUCCUCUGACCUCAACAUGCGUGUCAUGGCCCAGGGCAGCAUGCAGAAAACGAAGGCAAGUCCUAACAGCUCACCAUUGGAAAAGGAGGUCGCCAAGAUGCAGCCGCUUUGCCCUGAAGGCGUCUCACCAUGGCAUCACAGAUCAGGUUUCCCAUGUUGCACUCUCUGAAGCGGCACUCCUGAGCGGAGCCAUUCAGGUAGACGAUGGUUCUCCCGAGUUCCUGUGUAGAAUAAUUAUCUAAUUUUAUCCUCCACUGGUUAAUGUCUGCUUUGAUGGCUGCAUCUAGAAAGAAAGGACAUCAAAAAGGUGCAAGUGAGAGGAAAGGCCUGUCUGUAAUUCAGGCAGAUCUCCUAGUGGGUCCACUGGAGAGAAAUCAAGCCCCGCCAGUCUUCCCUGCUGGAAGUACACAUUGGUCACAUCUGUGCAUUUUGGUCAUGGCUAUGAAAUCCCUUAGGAAUGUUUAUUUUGUUUUUCUGACAUUAAUACCCGGGUAUAUUUUACCUCAAAGAUGUUUUGAGCAUCUCGACACCAACUCAAACAUCUAGAUGAGCCCGUCAGCCCACCUAGGAUGACACCACGGUCUUGCCAUAAGGUUUGAAAAGCUGGGACAAGUACAGAGGGUCUGCUGAGGGUGUGGUUCUCAGCUUGCUUCCUCUUCAGCUGCUGAAAAGCCUAGGUUGUGAGCACAGACUCUCCUGCCUCACUGCCCGUCCUUCUGAGCUGAUGAUUGUAAACAGCAAAGGGCUAGUAGAAGGAAUCAUGACAGAGGGUCCAAGCAUCAUAUGAAAACAGAUGGCAUAACAAUGUUCUUUUAUUCUGAGUCUCAAAACACAAGGUACUUACUUCCUGACAGAUAUGGGGGUAUAAUAUACACCCAGCCUAGGCUAUAUAUGGAGAGGCUGCCUCAAAACAAACAAAACCAGAAAAAAAGAAGUAUUUGCUCGUUUCAUGAAUGAAGACACUGAGGUGCAUACCACACUCACUGUCACUGCCUCUUGUUAGGUGGGCCAGAUUUUGAGCACCACUCUGUCCUAGUUGAAUUGCUUUUCUUUGGUUGUCUAUUCCUCCCUAGAGAGGAGCCGAUGGUGGCUUUUGCCUCACAGGACUAAGCUUUUGCAAAGCAGGAGAAGCGAUAGGGCUCUGAGCAGACUUGGGAAAAAUUAUGAGUACUUGGGAAUUUGAAACUUCCUUAUGAAUAAAGAGAGCAAAUGCAAGGGAGCAGCUAAAUUCUUCACAAGUGUCACAGUCAUUUAUUUCCUGAAACAAAACGAACAGAAAAGGGGAUGGAAGGUCUAGCGGCUGCCUAACUUUUCAUGUGGUAGAUUCCCCCCAGAUCUCACCUUCACGAAUGGUGCUGUUCAGAAGAAUGGGAUUUCCAUAGGAAGUGACAACAUUUCCUUUAUCAUCAAACUCAACCUUCAGAUAGCCCAGGUAUUUGCCAAAGGCAUAGGCCUGGACCACGGGAACCUUUCGCCCAUCGUCAGAGGUGACUAUGAAUGGGUACUUCCCAGCAGGCACUUCUUUGGAAGGUGGAUUUCCUGAAAUGAAAGAGGCAGAUUUGGUCAGGUCAGCCUUUGCUUAUAUAGCAGGCCACCAGCGGAAUGACAUCGGAUUUACCUGAUGAGUCACCAUCUGCUGUUGUACACGGCUGGUCUUUCAGAGCCCCAUGGACAUUUGCCAUUGACUCCAAAUGCCAUUCUCUACUCAGUAGGCAUUUACUAAGCUGUUUCUAAGUCUGGGGCAUUGUGCCUGGUGAUCUGAUGUGAUGUGGGUCAUACAGAAAUAGAAUCCUGCUAAGAUUAUCCCUCUUUCAUGCAGACUCUGUCUCUGCUCCUCCUGACUGAAUGAAAGCUAAGCCAUUUUGGUGUACUUCUGUCUCUGUGUAAAACCCUCCUGCCUCUGCUUCCCAAUGGCUAGGGUUACAGGUGUGCACUACAACAUCUGCCAAGCAGUAUAGCAAGGGGACCGGAAGUGGGUGAAUUAGCAAUUCUCAUUCUACAGGGUUGUUGAGACAGUUUAGUGUCUUAAGAUCCUCAGUGUGUGCUGGCUAGGCAUAGUAAGUACACCAUUUUUACUGUAUGCCUCUUCCUGUAGAGAUGAAGGCAUUCUCUAGAAACCUUGUGCACACACUCAAGGGCCUGUAGUUGUUAGUGAGGACCAAGAAGGGAUGACGGAGUUGUUCUUAGGGGGUUUUAGAGCAGCUAUAUCCUCCGUGGGGACCAACAAGCAAACACAUUCUCUCCCCAGCUCUUCAUAUCAGUCACACUCGGCAGGCCUGUAUCUCAUGGGGGGGCCACAGGAAGAACGUGGGAGCCGUUCAUCGCCCAGAGGCCUCCUUGUUUGCCUGAGGUGAGAGUGGCCACAGAAGAUACCCAGCAUCACAUCGCUUGCCAUGUUUAACUUCUUUCCAGGAAUCGAGUUUAUUUUUAAAUUUUUGUUGUGUGUGGGGUGAGGUCAUAUGUAUGGGUCCCAGGAUCAAACUCUGGUCUUCAGGCUUGGAGGCAGGCAUCUUUCCCUGCUGAGGCGACUCACUGGCCUGUACAUUUAAGUCAUUUCACCCCUCCUUGAUGUAUACUGUGUGUAGUUCCAAGCUGGCUUUGAUCUUAAGAUCCUCCUGCUUUAGUCUUCCACAUAAAUGCUGGGACUUAUGGGUAUGACCUGUUACGUGAGUCAUAAUUUAUAUCGAAUGUCUGUGGAAGUGACAUCGUUUGGGUUGUUUAGAAUCAGAUUAUAAAGCACAUAGGACUCUACUGGAUGCUUACAAAAGGUCCAGAGGACUUCAGCACACGCUCAUUUCACACAUGAGUCAGUUCUGAGAGCCGGCUGGGACUAUAAUUUCAUUUAUCUCUCCAAGCCUCCCACGAGGCAGGCCACAUUAUCAAGUGUACUUUACACAUGAGAAGACUGACUGCUGUAGCAGAUGCCCAAGGGCACAUGGUGCUGCUGGAAACCAGAGCUGUGGGACCCUGACCUUACGUCCUUGCUUCCCUCUAGAGCAGUCCACCCUGGGUUGGUUAUUCUCCGAGAAUCUGCAAGAUGGUUGGCACAGGCCACUAAUGAACUUACAAGCAGAACCAGGUUUGUGUCUUCCUGUCCCAGUCUCUUUCAGGGUCUUUUAAUUUACCUAAGAAAAGCCAAGGUGGCAUGCUAGGAAGAACUUACUCCAGGCCCUGUCAACCUCUAGAGUCAUAACAGAGCAGGACACAAGCACAGCACACGCCAGCCAUACACAAGCUAGGACAGCUGCUUCCAGUGCCAGGGUCCCACUGUGCUUGCAGAUGGUUCAAGACACCGUUCGUGACAGGGAGGAGGAACGCUACUAAUCUAAUCCUCCUCUUCCCCUUCUGUGCUUCUUUGGCCCAGGACAGACCCUGCCCUGCACUGCAGGGGACUAGUUAUUUAGGGAAGCCUCCUCUUAGCUUUGCGGAGACUUCCUCUUCCGGGCAAUGCUUGGGAAGUUGUAAUUCCCCUAACUGUCCAUGGAGUGGCAGAGAAUAUCCCAUCCAAGUGGAAAAAGGAUGAACAAAUUGCAGAAAUCUGGCAUUCGGCACUUUCUUGGAAAUUAGAGAGAGUAGCAAGCCAGACUUCUAGUCUUGGGUUUCUUUCUUUUUUUCUCCCUUCCAUGGCAAUAUCUUAAACAGAAUGUUAGAGAUUAGGAACCUGCCAGGCCUGUCAAAUGCCCCAAUUAGCUCAGCAUGCACUCUGCAAAAUCAGCACCCUCUGCCAGGGAGCACCUACUUUCUAGUUCAGAAAGGUCUUGAUGUUCCUUUUCUGAGAACAAAAGAUCCGUCAAGGUUAUCUCUGUCAGGAACUCAGCUUCCUUUGUGGCUGAGUUAGGGCUGGCCGCUAAUCUCCACCUUCAUCUUCACUGAGUCCCCCUCACUCCUCCACACAUUUCACAACUCAGAAAACCACCGGCGAGGGGGAAAAUAAUCCAGACCUUCAAAAUGUCCACACCGGUCCACGUUAUUCAGCCAAAGGCCUAAAUGUUUAUUACUUUUGCUGUGCUGGGAAUUUUUCUUGGACAUGCAUUUCCAAUCCCGCUUCUGCUCAUAUUCUACCUCACUUAAUCCCCGUUAUGUUUUUUUUUUCAUUUCUUUUAAAUUUUUUGAGGAAACUACACCACUAUCAUAAGUUUUUGUUAAAGAAAGCUUGGGCUCAAAGAGAUGAUGUAAAUUGAUAGACAGUGUUGAUGGGAACAAACUGAGCCUGUAAGAGGACCAAGCCCUUUUCACAAUCCCAAGCCAGAUUCCAGGGGAAGAAAAAUGCAAUCCUGCACGCAAGACCAGCAAACAGCAGAGCUAAGGCAGCCCAAGCUUCCAGCCUGUAACACACUCAGUGCUCAGGACAUGGGGGGCUGUGAGUUCUCAGGAGAUGACCAACUUUCCUUAUAUCAACCCUGCUUGGGGUUGGAUCCAUUUAUUUACGGUCAUUCUUUUCAGAGCUGGGCUUUCAAUAGACUCAUUUCAACUUUGAAAGCAGCCCCUUGAGGAGUAGCUGCCUCGGAUUAUGGCUGCGUGCAUGCAACAUGAUGUGGCUUUGCUCAAAAGGAAGUGGGUGCUGAAGCCCGGCCAGGCAGAGGCUAUCUAAAAGGACGAGAGUGAGUGGUCACUGGAAUGGGGAAAGCCUCUGUGCUGACCUAAGAAACAUCCAGGGAGAUCACUGCCAAGGCCACUGGUCAGACCUCUGCCCUUUGGCUGGUUCUCCAGUGCACACAGGAAACCCUGAAUGUCACCAGUUCUUAUCAAGUGCCUGGAAACAGUUCCUUGGAGAGUGUCUCUGUACUGUGCCUGUGACAAAUGUUAGGGUUGUUUUGGAAAGGCACGAUGAUCUAAAGCCCAGCCUUUCUUUUCCUGGUGCUUGUUCGUGCGUGCGUGCGUGCGUGCGUGCGUGCGUGCGUGCGUUGGGGCAGGAGUCUCACUAUUUAUUCCUAGAUACUUAAAUUUAGGGAAUUUAUACUGUAGACCAGGCUGGCCUCAUAGACUUGCCUGCUUCUGCUUCCCAAGUUCUGGGAUUAAAAGUGUUCAUCUCUGCACUAGGCCCUGUUUUUUGUUUUUGAGACAUGCUCUCAUGUAGCCCAGGUGAAGAUGACCUUAUACUUCUAAUCCUCCUGCUUCUACCUCCCAAGUGCUUGAAUUACUAACCUGUGCCACCUCUGCCUUAAAACCAAGCUUCUUCUUUUUUUAAAAAAAGAUUUAUUUAUUUUUAUUUAUAUGAAUACACAGCAGCUGUCUUCAGAUCCUGUUACAGAUGGUUGUGAGCCACCAUGUGGUUGCUGGGAAAUUGAACUCAGGAGCUCUGCAAGAGCAGUUAGUACUCUUAACCACUGAGCCAUCUCUCCAGCCCAGUCUUGUACAUGUACCCUCAGCUCUUAUAUAUCUAUGAUUACAAAGAAUAUGUCAUUUCCAGAAGUCCAUGUUUCAAAAGAAGCUUCUUAAGCUGAGGGUCAUGACCCCAUGUAGGGGAGGGUACUGUGACUGAAUGGCAGGUUUCUGAACAUACCAUGACCAAAAUUUCUACCCCUGCCCAGGAUGGAUCUCAGAGUGAUUACCCACACUGCAUCUGAGGCUUCAUUGUAGCCUUGAUUCUGAACACAUGUGCACUUUGCACUGCAUGUGUGGUCACACUGUGACAAUAUUGAUCAACUCUGAAAAAGCAUUGAAGCUGCUGAAGUCUCAAAUACUCAGCCAAGACUUAGGUCUUUACAUAAAAGUAAGCAGAUCCAUCUUAUUAAUUUGCACACUUGCUUUAGUCUUUAGUAAAUGGUAGUCUUUAAUAAAUGGUAAAAAUAUAUACAUACCAACGAAUUACUUUAAAGUAAGUUUCUUUCAUUGGUGAGAUGGCUCAGUGGAUAAAAAUGCUUGAAAUAAAAGCCAGAGUUCUAUCCCAUGAACCCACAACAGAAAGAAGGAAAACCAGCUCUCUGGGUUUUCUCUGACCUCCACACAUGUGCUCUUGAAUAUACAUACUCACACCUACAAAUGCACACGUCAAAUACAUAUGCAAACAAUAAACUUAAAAAUAAAAUAAUUUUCUGAUUCAUUAUCUGUUAAAUCUUGACAUGCACACCUAAUUUAAAAUAUUCCUAUACCCACAGUUACAUAAAAAUAUCCUGAGCAUACAGGGGUUGUGAGCAGAAAAGCUUUCAGCAGGCAUGUUCUGAAAGUACACCGUGGAGAGAGGGGCUGGACAGUGGCUGCCAGGCUGAGCCUGUGGCACGGUGCCUACUGAGCAUGCCCAAAGCCCUGAGCCUGAUUCCAAGCACCGUAUCAAAUUAGAUGUGGUUGCACAUGCCUGUGACACCAGCGUCCAGGAGAGGGAGGCACGAGGACACAAGUUCAAAGCCACCCUUGGCUACCUAGCAAGUUCUUUAUCUUUAAAAAGGUGACGCACAUACCAUGCUGACUGAAAGGACCACCAGCAGUGAUCUCUCUCUUUCCUUGUUACUCUAACAUAGCAGGUAUGCAUCCACUCUGCCCUGAGGUCAAGAACACAGAGAAGUUUCUAGUUCAGUACUGUAUAAUUCUUUUGUGAAUUCUCAUUCAUUUUUAAUUCUAUGAUCUUCACAGAAUUUCUGUUCUUGAAUUCCAUAUUUAGUGAACGUGUGCUUUAGACUAGGAUCAAUCAUACUGAAAAUAAAGAAGUUAGAAAAACAACUGACUAAAUAUUUUCAAAGGGCUGCAUAAACUCUGGCACGGUGGUCCAUGCCUUUGAUGAUAGCAGUUGGGAGGCAGAGGCAGGUGGAUCUCUGUGAGUCUGAAGCCAGCCUGGUCUACACAGUGAGACACGGCCUCACAAACAGAGGCUGUACUGAUUACCAUCCACUUAGCAACAGUGCACAGCCGCCUCUCAUAUGUUAGCCACCCAGGCUAGCGAGAGAAGGAUAGGAAAACAGCCAGACCAGUCAGGAGACAUGAAACUUCUGUACCGCUGAAGUCUUUGACUUCUAAAGGAACACACAGUGAGGAAGUUCUAGGAACCAGAAUGAUUCGAGAGUGUGAAGGGACAUGGGGAUCCAAGAGUGGAGUUCUGAAGUGGCUGAGGUGAGUGGAGGUGACAGUCAUUCAGGAUAUUUGGAAAGGAUUCUGUGAGCCUGGGGUACUGAGUCUGUUGUCCGCACAGACUAAAUAGUUAAUCCUUACAGGGUGCAGGCAGGAGCUGGUGUGCAGACACAGAUAAGAAACUGGGUACUAACCACUUGGUGACAUGGGACGGUGCUGGGAAGCCAUUGGUACUGUGGAAAAGACAGGGGCAGGUUGUAUGAACCCCCACACUUUACCAUAGUAGCUUAUACUAUAAUAUUGUAGUAGACAUUAUACAUUGUUCUAUUAAAAAAAACUGAACCAAACCAAACCAAAACAAAGCCUUCCUAAAAUCUCCCAGAGUAGUUAAUAGUUAAUAGUUAAUAGUUAAUAGUUAAUCUCUGCGCACGACUGCUUUCCUAGGAAGCAGUAUGUCAGAAAGGAAGGGGUGACACAUUCCUAGUACUGAGCCCUUUACAGAACUGCAGAUUAGAAACUGAUGUCUGCACUUAUCCAAGAGAAGAACCAAAUGGCAGGCAGAUGGGAAGCAGCCCCUAGGAAUCUCUUCAAGAGUCGUAAAGACUGGGCAGUACUUUGGCAUGCCUGCACAGGCUCCAUCUUGAACUUCCUUCCCUACUUUUUAUCAUGGACCAUUUUUGUGACUCCAGAGUGCAACUCCUUCAGAGGCACCAUCUCCCUCCUGGGCCUCAUUCCUGCAGCUCUCACACUUUGCAAGUGCUUCCUGUCAUACUGUUAGAAGGGGGAUCUUACAGUCAAGAUUAGCCUAGUCAGCACAUAAGGGCCUUGCCAGCCAAAACUGCAAAGCAAAGUGUGACUCUGUUUCUAUAAAAAACGAAACAAACAGGCUGGAGAGAUGGCUCCGUGGUUAAGAGCACUGGCUGCUCUUCCAGAGGUCCUGAGUUCAAUUCCCAGCAACCACGUGGUGGCUCACAACCAUCUGUAAUGGAGAUCUGAUGCUCUCUUCUGGUGUGUCUGAAGACAGCAACAGUGUACUCACAUAUAUGAAAUAAAUAAAUCUUUACCAAAACAAGACUCCCCCUGCCCCCCCACCCCCCCUCCAAACAAAUAACAGGAGGUCCUGUCUCCAGGUGAAAUGAAACAAAAUAACAAGAAAAGAAACAGCAGAACAACAACAAUAAAAGCAGGAUCCUCAAAGCAGGAUCCUCUGGAUGCUUUGGGAAUUUUCGGAUUACUUUAUACACAGCUAUGAGAGUGCUCACGUUUGCACGCGUACCCAUUAGAUCCUCUUGUUAAAUGUCAUGCUUACUGUGGCUCACAGCCAACGUAGAGGAGGAAGCGGCAGGAGUGCCAGCUCGCUCCUGCUGUGCAUUGUAGACUUCUAAUACUCCUUGGAGAAAAGCUACAAAGCCUUUGAACAGGUCCUAUCCACAGAGCUGCCGUAGAACGGCACUAAGAGCAGGCAAGUCUGUGGACCCUCCUGAAACUGCUGUGACUUGGAUGUGGCUUGUCCCUUCUGUGUUCGUGUGCUAGCAGCUUAUUAGUCCUCUCUGUGGUGACACAGGUACAGUGGAACCUUCGAGGGGUGUUUAAUGUGAGGUGAUGAGCCAGCAACCUCCACUUGGAAGAGAUUAGUUCUCUUGAGCCCACAGUCAGUUCUGUGAGAGGGAGUGGUUGUAACGGGAGGGCCACCACACACCCCUGGCCUCCCUGUCAUGUUCUUUCCCUUUCCCGAUUCUCUCCUGUGUUGUGUUGUGAAGAGCCAAGGGGAUGUUCACUUGAGGCCAAACCAGUGAAGUCAGCCAGUGAGGUCAACUGUUCCCAGACUCUUAAUCUUCAUUCAACACUGUGAUAGACUCCUUGUUAGGAAGCCAAUGUACCCAGAGGGGGUCAGGUGACCUGCCUGUUCAAGGUCAUUCAAGUGAGUUAGCAAUGAGGACUUUUGACUCAAUAUUCUCAUUCCAAAUAUAACAUGUAUUCAGUACUUAACAUUCUAAGAAGUUCUAUGAAAAUAACAAUAGUAGUGAAGAAGAAGGGGAAGAAGAGGAGGAGGGGAGGAGGGGGGAGGGGAAGGAGAAGGAGGGGGAAGGAGAGGAGGAGAAGGAGGAGGAGGAGAAGAAGAAGAAGAAGAUGAAGAAGAAGAAGAAGAAGAAGAAGAAGAAGAAGAAGAAGAAGAAGAAGAAGAAGAAGAAGAAGAAGAAGAAACUUUCCAAGCCAGAUGUAGAGGUGCACGUUUAUAAUCCUACCAUUCCUGAGAGGUAGAGGCGAGAGAAUCACAAGACUGGGGCUAAUCUGAGCGAGAUAGUGAGACUCUGUCUUAGAAAACCAAAGGCCAGGGAUAUAGAUGCUUAAAAUAGAGCAAGGCCUGGAUUCAGGUCCAAGAACCACUGAAAACAUCUUAAAAAUAUAUUUAUCUUUAAAAAAUUCUUACCACCAACUGACCUUUGUCUAGCGAUCAGUAAUGUUUUCAUUUUACUAUGUGUGCUAUACGCGUGUAGCAUUGGCUUUUAAUCAUGAAAUUAAUGAAUUCUCGGAACGUCUCCGAGUAAGAUUACCCAGCCUCAUCCAAGGCAGAUUAUAUGUAUAUUGCAUAUUAUAGCAUAUACAUUGUAUACUGCACACUAAAUGAACAUCCUGGCCUGCAGAGUGCAGCGAGACAAUUACCUGUGUAGAGAAAGGUGUUGGUGUGUCCUCCCACCACGACGUCCACGCCUCUCACCUUCUGGGCAAUGAGUUUAUCCAUCUCGAAACCAGAGUGUCCCAGGGCAAUGAUCUUGUUCACGUUUAGAGUUUUUAGUUUAUCCACUUCAGGCUGCAACGCAGUGACUUCAUCUUCGAAGACUAAAUUUGUCCCUAAGGAGGAAAAUUAAUAAAAUGGAUAUUAAAAGAAUUUCAUUGCACUACUUAUAUAGCAACACUUAGAUAGCUUUUAACAAGAAAGCAUGAUUUCUUGUUAAAGCUCCUCACUUACUAACAGCACAAUGUAUGAAUACAUCUGAUACGGAAGUCUUGUCAGUCAAGAAAAAUGUAAACCAAUGUCCUUGGUUGCACUUACCCAGUAUUGCAUUGGGUUAAGGUUGUAGAUGGUACAUACAAAUUAUACAUACAUACAUACAUACAUACAUACAUAUACAGAAACAUAUAUAUGUUAACUUAUUUUUGUGUGCACAUACAUACUACAAUGAAUACAUGGAAGGUCAGAGAACAAUUUUUUUAUUAUUGGAUAUUUUUAUUUACAUUUCAAAUGUUAUUCCCUUUCCUGGUUUCCUGUCCAUAAGCCCCCUAUCCCAUCCCCUUUCCCUUCCUUCUAUGAGGGUGUUCCCCUCCCCAUACAUCCCACCUUCCUACCCCCCCAACAUUCUCCUACACUGGGUGGUCCAGCCUUGGCAGGACCAAGGGCUUCUCCUCCCAUUGGUGCCCAACAAGGCCAUCCUCUACUACAUAUGCAGCUGGAGCCAUGGGUCUGUCCGUGUGUAGUCUUUGGGUAGUGGUUUAGUGCCUGGGAGCUCUGGUUGGUUGGCACUGUUUUUCUUAUGGGGUUGCAAACCCCUUCAGCUCCUUCAAUCCUUUCUCUAAUUCUUCCAAUGGGGACUCUGUUCUCAGUUCAAUGGUUUGCUGCUAGCAUUUGCCUCUGUAUUUGCCAUGCUCUGGCUGAGCCUCUCAGGAGACAGCUAUGUCAGGCUCCAGAGGACAGUUUUCAAGAGCUGGUUCUCUCUGCCCACCACAUAGAUCCUAGGGAUCGAACUCAGGACAUCAGGUUAGGUGGCAAGCACCAUUAUCUGUUGAACCAUCUCACUGGGCCAUAGAUGUUGUUUUUGCAUAAACUGAAUCUCAUGCUAUGAAGAGACUUCAGGUACAGUUUGUUUCCAUCUCCUUUUACAUUUAGGCCUUCACACUAACCAUGAAAAAAAAUGUCUGAGCACAAAAGCAUGGUGCCUACAACUGCUGCCAACUUUAUUGCUUUGCCUGGAAACUUGGAGUAUUCUCUCUUCAGACCUAACAUGUCAACAAGUAGGCUUUGAAAGACAAUUUCAAAAAGAGGUUUUUAACAUUUCUUUCUUUAUUUUGGUUUGCGUAUGGUGUGACAUACUUACGGAUGUCAGAUUUCUCUUUCUGCUGUAUGAGUUCCAGGGAUUGAACUGUGGGCAUCAGGUGUGGUGGCAAGUCCCCUUCCUUACCCACAGAGCCAUCUUGCUGGCCCUUGGGAACUAAUUUUAUCAUGGAAGAUAAGAACUGCUCACUUGCAGGUAGGGAGUGGCAGUAUUAGAGUAGAACUAGAACUGAGCGCUGCUUCACACAGAGGCCUCAUCUAAACGUUGCCUGCCCCAGGAAGGGAGCAAACCCAGUGGUAAGAAUGAAUGCCUCUGGUUCUGGGCGGCAUAGCUCCCGGGACUCCUGUGCUGAGGCCUGAACCUGGCUUCUCAGCCCAAGCUUAGCAAGUCAUUAGGUCUUCAGCGAUCAUGAGGGGACCACUGACAUGCCCUCCUGAAGUCUCACUCAGCACUGUUGCCAGGAGUCCUCCAGUUGACCUGGAUGCUCUCAGGCUGGUUUCUAAGAACCGGCACUAGAAUGAAGGUGGCUCAAAUGCAAAAGUCUCAUAAAGAGGUCUCAAAGGGCGAGUCUGCAGAGCCCAGUGUUUCUGGCUAAUAACUGAAGUUUUAAAUUUAUAAACGCUUCAUACACUUUAAAUAGAUAAUAAGUUUUAUCAUGUAAAAGAAAAACAUUUGUUUAUGAACCUUUCUCAUAAGUAUGGUUCUAUUAUUAAUUUAAAAUAGUACAAUGAGAUUGACCCGAAUUGUAAAAUAAAAAGGUUGAAAUAUGAAUGUAAAUAAAGUAUUAAUAUUGCAGUCAUAAAUAGAAUUGUUAUAAAUAUCAUAUAUCAGAAUAUAUAUCAGAUUUUCAUAUAUCAAGAGAAGAAACAUGGGGUUGGGGAUUUAGCUCAGUGGUAGAGCGCUUGCCUAGGAAGCGCAAGGCCCUGGGUUCGGUCCCCAGCUCCGGAAAAAAAAGAACCAAAAAAAAAAAAAAAAAGAGAAGAAACAUUUACUCAUAAUUUUCUUUUUUUAAAUGGAGAGUUUCUCCAGACAUCAGCAGACUGUUGGAGAUGCAGCCAUUGUCCACUGCCGUGCUCCGGACUCCACUCCCCUGAUGCAACUACUGAGUCCUGACUACACGUCAGCCCUGUGUAUGCAGUACCUCCCAGCACGAAAGCACUUUGGCUGUGGAGGCUCCAGAAGAGCAGCCAGGAAGUUAGCAGCUGGCUUGGCAGAGCUGAAGUAGCUUAAGUCAGCACCCAUAAUGCUCUGCUACUUUUGUCCCUCACAGGAAUGCCAGGGACGACCUGAUUCUUGUCUGUAACCCCAAUAAGCUUGGGCUCCCUGGUCAGCACUCAGCUCUGACCUUGUCUUGGUUUCUUUUCCUAUUGCUGUGAUAAAGUAUUUGGACACAAACAACUUAUAGGGGAGAGGGCUUAGGUUGACUUUUUGUGGUGGAUCUUCCCUCCUCAGUUAAAACAAUACCUCACAAGCGUUCCUGGGGACUUGUCUCCUAGGUGACUCCUGUAACGCUGACCAUUAAUACUAACCAUCACAACCCACUUUCCUGUUAGCCUUCCUUGGGCAUUCCUCUAAAAUAGCAAGGUGCAUCCUCCUUCUGCUACACAGCCCCUUCUCCUGUCGCAUUUCUCUUCACUACCUUCUGACACAGCCAUAUUUAUCUGUUCUCUCACUGAAUAUGUGAGCACAGAGAGAAACAGACUUCUUAUUUGGUGUUUCUAAGGCCCAGAACAGUGUGCUGAGCUCCCUGGGGGAGAGGGUGGGGAGGAAGGAUGUGGACAGAAUGUUAGUUACUAUCCUCUCCUUUGGUUGGUCCAGCACCAAAAUAGUUCUGAGAAAUGCCUCAGGUCUGGAUGCCACAUGUAUAGAUUUCAUGGGAUUUAUUUUAGAAUGCGUGCAUGUGCACAUACACACACACACAUACACACACACACACACAUGCAUGCAUGCAUGGGAGCUGGGGUGGAUUUCAAAUUAAAUGUUCUAGGAAUUGAUGUUAUACAUGUGUACAUGUUCUGAGCACUAGAACUAGGAGAACUGUUUUACUGGGGACCAGAAGUCUAUAGUCCAGUCUAUGCUUGUGCCAGGAUUCACUUACAAUUUUGAACACAUAAAAUUAGAGACACUGUUUAGUCAACAAAGACGUUUACCAAGCAGAGACAGCAAUGACCUUCAGAGGGUAACAGAACAAUACAGAAUCUGUCGCCUUGGUUUGCUAAUCACCAACCUUCGUCUGCCACAGACCAUAAAAACAUGGGCAGCCAAGCUCUGCUUUACCACGUCUAUUCCCAAGUUACAAGUACGGAGAAAGUAGAAGAUACCUGGAUUUGAGAGGAAGGGGGUUUCCUUUGAAGUAUAUCCAACAAUCCCCACAACCUCACCACCGACAGAGAGAACUUUAUAUGGCAAAUAAAGUCCGGAUAUCUGAGGUGCUAGUGGCCCCCGGGCCUUAAUAUUUGCACUCAGAAUUGGAAAUUUGACAUUUCUGAGGAGGGGAUCAAUCAGUCCUUCCACACCGUUAUCAAAUUCAUGAUUUCCCAGUGCCUAAGUAAAAUGGAAAAGAAAGAGAAAAGCAUUAAGUAUCCUGGAUUUUCUAAUAAAAGCAUAUUUUUAAGUAUAUCAUGUUAGCCCAGUGGCCCCCAAAAUGGACUGGGCUCCGAGUCUUGACAACACACAUGUCCUGGUGUUGUUCUUACCUCCAAAGAGGGCCGUGGGCCGAGCCCAGAGACAUGUAGAUCACAGGUAGGUACAGCAUUGUUGCCCUGGGCUCCUCAUCCAGUGAAGCUGCUGGGAAUGUGCGUAUUUGCAACAUCCGCAGCACACACUGUGAGGUGAGAAGCGCUGUCCCACCAUCCUCCAGCCAGAUAGCUCCACAGACCCCACCCAGGCCCUACCCAGCUCCUCCCCAUUGUUCUCUGGAGUUAGCCCACAGGCCAGACCCAAUCACUCAACCCACCAGCACCUUAGUAGAAUGCAGGUACCCUUAGAACCCCCUUUUUUCAUGGCUUCCCUUGGGUCAUGUCUCAAGUCCUCACAACUGCUCUACAUAAGGAUGUCUCCAGUUCAUCCAGGAAAAUCAGGGCUGACAGAAGCCUGUGUUACAGUGGGUGUUGGCUUCCUGCGCUAGUCAGCCCCAGACCACCCCAGUACCCUGAGCAGGAGAGAAAGCAUGAAGACAUUACAGGUACGUGGAGAGAGAAAGAGGUCCCUUGCUUUGGUGGAAGCCUUCUGCCAGCUGGGAGUCAAGAAUUUCAGCACAAUGAACAACACUGGCUAUGAAGGUUGCUGACAGAGACACAAGAUUCCUUUUAUCUAGAAAAAAAAAUUGUUAUCAAACGGGAAUGUUGAAAUAGCAGUGAACCGUUCUGAAGGCUUGCUUUUGUCUUUUCCUAGGUAUUUUCUGGAAGCCUCCCAAGUAAAAUGAAAAUUUUGUUUACAGUAAAGAUAGCUUAAUGUUCCCUAUAGCCCUUGUGAUCUCGAGUUUUACCAUGUCAGCUGUAAUCCUAACCAGUGCACAUAGAACCACCCUAUGAUCUCAUUUAUGAAAAAAAAAGAAGUUUUUUUAGCUACCUUUUGAGCUACAGCUUCAGAAGCCACCAAAACCAGUAUGUGCGGCUGUUGCAAUGACAAGGACAUCUCUCUCUUGAGCAGCCCACACCCAAGGGUGCGUACCCCCCUCUAAGCACCAGUUCUUUCUCAUGCUUACCUUUAUGUGGGACUGUCUUCCUCAUAUACUAAUCUACUAGAGCCCUGCUUUACCCUUGUGAAGUGUACACUCGACACUUGCCUUGUCCUAAAAUUCUUCUCUGUCUUUCUCUGAGUAGAAGUCUCUAAAAGGAACCUCUCAGACAGCCUCGUCCCUGGCACCUUAUGCUAAGGAAGGACUUUCUGGUGAGGUGACCAUGAGACCCCAGCAGGUUCUGUGCACAGGGCUUCAGCUGGAGCAGGGAUGGUGUCAAAAACCAUCUGUAAGCUCUUCCCACCCUCCUUCACCUUCCUUCAGAAAGCCCUAUCGAUCUUCCCCGUCCUCACUUCGCAUCCUGGAUAACCCCAGCUCUGGGCAGUCGCCCACUUGGUUUGACUGCUACGGCCAUUUCACUUCCUCGGUACCUGCAUUCACUAAGGACAUCAGCACAACCCAGUCUGUUUCACUUUCUUCAUCUCAGAAGAGGCCUGGUCGUUGAAGCUAACAAGGGCCAUGGUACGUUCUCUUCUGCCUCACUCCCUCUUCCCAGUGCGGCAGGUACGUGAGCACAACAAAUAGUUUAGUAACGAAUCCGGCUUGCGCAAUGCACACACCCCUCUUGUCACACUGCACUUGGAGCCUGCUACUGCCCACACUGUGUGCACACCCUCCAAACGAUGCACUUGACAACCUAGGAUGCCGCCUUCCCUGAGCUGCACGUACCACUCUCUCCAGACAAUGGAGUUAAGUUCCUUCUCCCCGGAACCAUCGAGCAAUUUCUAUUCAGUCAUACUCCAGUUAUGUCUAAGAAUGAGGGUUGGGAGGCAAUCUGGCCAGAGCUAGUUUGGGACACGUUGAGUAGGGCAAACUGUCCUGUAAGCGAAUGUUUAGGGAGAAAUUUGAAUGAUAUUUCCUUGCUAUUUUGCAAUCCCUGAGUACCUUUAUCAUAAUGUUUUAAUAAGAAGACAAAAACCUUGACUGGAUGUGACCAGCAGCCAUGUGACUUCAGUACAUUCCAGGGCUAUAUUGUGGGGUCAUUUGUUGUCUGUCCCCUGGCUAAACUGAACACUCCCAAGCUAUGUUGGCCUUUUCGUCCUGUUCACCAUGUAGUUUCCUCCCCUGGCACACGGGCACUCACUGAGCACCUGUCACUCAAAGGGCUGUGUACGAAUCCUCCAGGAAGCGCGAAGAGAUUCACAGUCCCACUCUGUCUCCCACUCCGUCUCCCACUCCGUCUCCCACUCCGUCUCCCACUCCGUCAUAAUUGCUGAACUUGCACUUUUCCCCAUCUCCGAUGCUCUACCCAGUCACCACCUCCUCUUACCUAGUUAAUUCCUCUAAAAGCUAAUCUAUGUCUAUAGGUUCUCUCAGUCUCAGGGAUUUGUUUUUCUUUCUUUGAGUCUUAAAACAUCAUGUUUUCUUCUUAUGGUGUAAUAAAUACCCUUUGUUAAAUAAUAAUCUUACCUAUAAAGUGUCAGUUUUGGUGAAUGUUUCUACGUUCACUAAAUUAAAAAAAAUCGUGCUUGGUUGUUUUGGGGUCUUUUGAGACAGGGUCUCACUGUGUAGCUCAGGAUGGCCUCUCACUCUUGCAUUAGCUUCCCGGAUGCUGGGAACAGACAUGCACAACAACACAUGGCUCACAGUUUUCUGAGGAAGAUCGACCAAACUCAGUGCUGUCCCAUCCUUAGCAUGCGGUAAGAGUUCAAGUUUUCACUUGUUGUUUCUUCAAUAUCUUGUUCCCUCCCACCCUGACUUGAGUGCAAACCUUGAGAGUAGUGACUGUGACUAUCUGUAUCCCUUGGGGGAGAGCAGCCCUAUUCGUGGACAUCAAUACUCUUGAUAAAGGACUAAAUGCCUUUUGUCACCCUCACCUUUGGCUCCAAACUUCAAACCUCUGUUGGGUUCUCUUGGUCUGUGUGUCCGUUGUCAUCUUCCUUUGCUGUUUCAACAGAAUGUCAGUGUUCCAGACCCAGAAAACCAUCUCUGAGACUUUCAAGUGUCAGAUCCAAAGUCUCCCUUUCCCCAAAAUGGCAGUUCUGGAGACAUUGUUCUACCAAGAAGGACAAUCUCAGUCAAUCGAGCCAGAAGCCCUGGCAUAAGACCUUCCCUGCUCCUGUAGCCUUUCCCCUUCGCAGGGCAAUGAGUCAGCUGUUGAGGACUCUACCAUGGGUGCGCCUGGUAACACACCAACUUUGAGGAAGGGAAAGUAUGACAAAAUAUCCCCUCCCUUAGAAUCUGAGAUACCACGUGAAAGAAAGGAGACACUUUCACAAGUACCACAUGGAAAGGAGAUAGCCAUGCUGGGUGAAGCUCAUGCUGGGAAGGCUGUUUUCUUGGUAAAGGCAUAAAGGCAUGGCUGUUGUCCUGCUUACCUUUUCUUUUCUUUUCUUUUUCCUUUUUUUUUUUUACUGCAAUAAACACGAUGACCAUAGCACAACACAGAACAGAAAGGAUUUAGUUCUUAGAGUCGACAAUGUUUUAUUCAGCAAAGUCAGGGCAGAAACUCAAAACCAAAAUCUGACCCAGAGGCCACAGAGGAGUGUUGCUUACUGCUUUUCUUGUCACCCAGGCCCACCUGCAGAUGGUGACACCACCUACAGUGGCCUGGGCUUUCUCACAUCAAUCAGCAGUCAAGAAAAUGCCCCACACAUGUGUACACACUCCAGCCUGCUCGAGGUGACUCCCCAGUUGAGGUACCUCUCUCUUCCCAGGUGAUUCUCGUUUCUGUCAAAUUGGCAAAUACUAACCAUCACAACUAUUGUAGAAGUUUAUUUUUAUUUAUUCAUCCAUUUAUUUUUGUAAUAGGGUCUUACACAAAUGACCUUGACACAAAUCCUUGCUCUGCAAGUGUGAGGGGUAGUCAAGCAAGGUUGUAUGUGCAUGUUUCCUCUCUACUGGGGCCAACCAGACUAGCCAAAAACAGAGAGACCAGCUCCCAUGUCAAUAAGCUGGAGAACCAUUCAUUUAUUUUUGUAAUAGGGCCUGGAAGUCUCUAUGCAGACUAGGCUACCUUGAACACAGAGAUCCAACAGUUUCUACCUCCUCAUUAUUAGGACUAAAGGUGUGCACCAAACACACGGGUCUAAUUCUUUUCUUUUCCUUCUUCUUUUUUCCCCUGCUUUUGCAUCUAUUCUAUUACAUGAUGUUUAGCCAAAAGGAUGGAAUUUGAGUUGUACCUUUGACCCUGGCUAAAAGCAUGAUAUUUCAAACUACCCCAAAGGCUCUAAGAUCAUAGAGAUUUCUAUUGUCUCUUCUCUUAAAUCAAUCAAAACGGUCCUGCAAAUCACCUGGACAGAAAAAAAAAAAGAGCCACUCAAAAAGUCUUAACUUCUAGAAACACAAUAUACCUGGAAACGUGUCUAAAAAUAGGAAAGGGAUAGUUGCCCCUUCGUGAGACAUAUAAUUAGACACCCCAGAAGCCACUCUCUCCACGCAGUUGCCCACAGACCGUCAUUGCUAAGCCUGCUGGCUUUCUGACUUCUCAGAAAGUGUAACUUCUCCCCUCCCCCUCGCUCCUCCUCCCCUCCUCCUUCCACUCUGCUGUGUCGAUGAGGAUGCGUGUGGGUGUGGUGCGGGGGGGAUGUGGUGCAUGCAUGUGACUGUGGAGAUAUGUGCCUGUGCACAUGGAUGGGGAGCCUGGAGCAGAACAAGGUCAGGCACCUUCCUCUCUGGUUCUCCAGCUUAUUGACAUGGGAGCUGGUCUCUCUGUUUUUGGCUAGUCUGGUUGGCCCCAGUAGAGAGGAAACAUGCACAUACAACCUUGCUUGACUACCCCUCAGACUUGCAGAGCAAGGAUUUGUGUCAAGGUCAUCACCCUAGAUCCCCUUCCUCCUCCUUGCAUCUCCAGUUUUUGGACAUCAGUCAAAACCCUAAAUCCAGCUGCCACGACAUCAGACAUUUUAUCUCUGAAGACAAUACCCACCUACCUGCCCCCUCACCGCCCCGUGCAGCUGCCUAACUGGCUUCCACAGCUGAGCCCAUCUGCUUUCUUAACAUUCAACUCAGAAGGUGUGAUUCUUUUCCUCUUAUCUAGCCCCCACUUCCAGCAGCCAUUAAGAUCUCUAGCUUACUUGCUAUGUUGUUGGUUUUUCUUUUUCCUCUCAAAUGUUCCCCCUUCUGAAACAUUUUAAAUCUGAAACAUUUAAUUCUGAAAUCUGUUUUAAAAUUCAUUUAUCACUGGGAGGUGGUAGCACAUGCCUUUAAUCCCAGCACAUGGGAAGCAGAUGCAGGCAGAUCUAUGUGAGCCCGAGACCAGACUGGUCUACAGAGCUAUUUCUAGAAGACCCAUGGCUACACAAAGAAACCCUGUCUCAAAAACAAAAACAAACCAAAAAAUUCAUUUAUCUAAGAUCCUAAAAAAGGGACCCCAGUUUGCCUCUCUCCCACUCCUACUGUCUCGAUGCAGUCUUGUCCUCUCGGGUCUAGACAGUGGCUUUCUAAUCCGGCUUUUGGCUGUCACCAUUCUCUUCCCUAAACUAACCUUGCAUUGCUGCCAGAGCAAGCCUUCUGCACUGCAGGCUAAAUGGCGCCUCUCCACCUGAAGGCCCCACAGAGGCACGGACAGUUUAGGGUCCCACCCAUAGCCUUGGCAGGCCCCCAAAAGCUCUUCUUUGUGCACUGGUCUCAUCGUUUCUAUCAGCCUCAGUCCUGGCACUGUCUCCCACACCCCCGUGCCCUGUACUCUGUGAAAGGAAGCACGGUUGCCUCUGCCGCUCAUGACCAGGGAUGUGGAAAUCACAGCAUUCUCUGAGUGAAUCAAGUGUCAGCGUUUGUUAUGCACUUCCUGCAUACCGUGAUGAGGAAAUGAAGAAAAAAAAGAAGGGAGCUUAUAAACAAACAACAAAAAGGAGGUGUUUGCUAUGCUACUAUCACUACGCUAACUUUACUGAGGAACAAAAGCUGAGAUGUUGCCAAGCGAAAGGACCUGUAGGUCACACAAUCUGUCGCUUUGUGUCUGGUGAGAGAUGAAUGGCAACAGUCAUACACACAGAUCCAGCAGAAGAGCCGGCUGCUUCCUGUUGUGUCUCUACUGCUUUCUAUACCUAAGGAUGCUCCCAGGAGGGUGCUCUGAGAAUGCCAGUCUGAUGCCUCUCCCCUGCACUCUGGGUGGUCAGUUUCUUUGGUGACAGAUCCUUAGAUCACUGCUCCGGGAGGUAGAUGAACAGGAGAACCACUCACAAAGUGCCUGGUUUUCCUCUUCUGACAGUUCACUACAAAUGUACAUGCAGAAAAUUCCCUUUCUAAAAUAUUUUAUAUUUCCUUUUCCUCACUUGGGAUUUGCCCUGCUGCCUUAUUCCUUUUGCAGUUAGGAGAAUGUCAUAACGUGUCAGCUCUUCAGGAGGAACAUGCUUCUCACCAAAUUCCCCUUGCAGCAGCAGGCGUAGAGGAGCCUGCUGGGUGGGUGGGUCUUAUUACCCGUUGGUAUCAUUUGUGUUACCAACAGGCCUUGGGAAAGAGCUGCCCAAGGGAUGAACAUGGAGCAAUAUAUGAUGAAGUGACACAAAGGAGGAGACAGCCACCCCUCAGGGCCCAUGGGGAAGUGUUUCCAGGUCCCCUGACAUACCACAAUCCCUCAUGAGACUCCUAGUGGUUGGGAAUAUUAAUAUGAUUAAUAUUAGUUAAUUAAUAUUAAUUAUUAAUAAGAUUAUCUGUGUGUAUGGACACAGCUUUUUUUCUCCUAAUACUUUGGAUCUGCCAUUGGCAAAAUUCAUGACUUUUAUACUCCCCUGUGAUGGUCCUUUGCCCUUUUUGGUCCUUUCUGGAAGUUUUGAUUUAUAAACUGAAGCUCUCUGAAGCCCCAUCUACACUGCAGGAGUCAUGGUCAGUUUGACCUUGGCUGAGUAGAACACUGUGAUUGUGAGGUGGGGAAUGUUGUGGAGCAAGAGCCAAAGUCAUCUUGGCUAGCUUUAGUCUUUUAAUAGUUCCUGACUACGAACCUCUAUUUCUGACCUCACAUCCUCUUGAUUAAAAACUCCUGGAACUUAUCAUCUGGCUAAAUUUGACAUUUCUAAUCCUAGUGAUAUGAUUUUUUUCCCUUUGAGACAGGGUCUCUGGUACUACAUGCUGACCUUGAAGUUGCUUCAUAGCUGAGAAUGUCUUUGAACUUCUGAUUCUUUCCUCAUCUACCUCUGAAGUAGUAGGGUUAUAGGUCGUGGCCAACUUAUGUGGGUCUCAGGAUGUAACCAAGGGCUUCCUUUAGUUACAGAAAGACUCUACUAAGUGAACUACAUCUCCAGCUGCAAUAUUAAUUCUUAAUUCUGCAGAAGAGAUUUUUCCCAAUCUGCUAUAACUAACUUCCUAAAGACUGCUUUCCAUAUACUUUGUAUGCACACAGAUUUAUAACUUUGAUUUGUUCCAUGACAAUAAAAUGUCACAAAGCCUCUUCCACAUGGGACAUGUCACUUAGGGUAACUUGAAUAUGUGUUCCUGAGGCCUUGGUCACACAUAUUAUUUGCUCAAAAUAAACUAUUUUCUCAUUUUCUUUAAAACAGAGUUGUAACUUCAGAUUGACACAGUGAGACUUCACCUUGACUUUGUGACAUUGCCACUAGCUGUUUAACCAUCAUCUUAGGCAAAGACCCACCAUGAUUUGGAACUGCACUCCCUUUUUGAUUUGUAAGACAGUGAACAGACUUGUAGGUAAAUAACUUCCAGGACUUAUAUCUAGUAGUCAAAAGGAUGUAAGGUCAAAUAUAGAGGUUGAUAGUAAGUUGCUAUUAAAAGAGACUAAAGAUAGUCCAAGAUGACCUUGGCUCUUAAUGCACAAUAUUCCAUCACCCCUUAAUUCCAAUGCUCUAGUCAACUGUGGUCAAACAGUCCACGGGAUUCUGUACAGAUUGGACUUUGCUUAUCUGUUCAUCCUAUUUAUUAAUCAAUCGGAACCCAGUGACAACCUUGUACAUUCAUCGAGUAAGAAAGAUGGGCUUCAACUGGUCCAGUCUUGGUUCCUCCCCUCCCCCACUUUCUUUUGAGGAAAACACCUAAAAAGAAAGAUGGUCUUACAGAAAGAUGUUGCAUGUUCCAUUCUCUAUCGAGCCUGGUGUGGUGGUUUGAAUAGGAAUAGCCACUAUGGACUGAUAUACUUGAAUGCUUGGUCAUUUGCAAGUGGCACUGCUUAAGAGGGAUUAGGAGGUGUGGCCUUAUUGGAGGAAGUGUGUCACUGGGGAAGGGUGGGCUUUGAGGUUUCAAGAACUAAGCCAGGACCAGGGGCUCUGUGUUGUUCCUGCUACCUAUGGAUCUGUGUGUAGAACUCUUAGCUCCUUCUCCAACCCCAUGUUUGCCUACAUGUCACUAUGCUCCCUUCAUGAUCAUGGACUAAACCUCUGAAACUGUAAGGAAGUCCCAAUUAAAUGUGUUUCUUUGUAAGAGUCACCAUGGCUGUGGUGCUUCUUCUCAGCAACAGAACACUGACUAGGACACCAGGGAUGUUUGACAUUCCAACACCUCAGACUGCUUGCCACUUAAAACCAAAAACAAAUGAAAAUGUCGGGAAGAGAGGAGGACUCAGUUCCUCUGUGACUCAGGUUUCCAUGGCUACUAAAUGGACUCUGAGGAACACUAUCAUGUUUCUCCUGCCUUCUGUAGGUAGGUAGUAUUUACAUAGACUCUGGGUGGCUUCCCUUUGGCCUUUGAGAAAGCUUCUGUUGAUUGUAGGUAAGGCUCAGAAUGUCAUGUGAGUUACCAACUGAGGAAUAAAGCUAUUUUAAGGCUUCUGAAGCCAAGUUUCUUGAGAAAUACCCUGUAAUUAGGAGAGAUGAAAAACUUGUGCUUAAACUUUGGCUUGGAAUUCACAUGCAUUUUGUUGCAAGCCAUGGCUACUUUCCCUCUGAGGAAAAGCUGGAAAAAAAACCUAUAGAUAAUUACGCAGUUACCACAUUUGAAUUCACUUAUUUAUUUCAAAUAUACUAUAUGUCGAAGUAACCUUUGGACACAGAUGAAACAGAAAGAGAGUAGCUCAAACCCACACACGCUGACGUAUAAACAAAUACCAGGUAACAUGGUGUGCCAUCCCUUAUCCUCGUCUGUGGCAGAUGCCAAUUAACUGACUGAGUCGAUCUUUUCUGGUGAAUUUAGAACAAGCCUCGGAAUCCCCCUUAACCCAGCAAGGAAGGGAAUAGCUGUAACCCAACCAGAUACAUCAUUUUUCGUUCUUUCACGAAGAUAGUAAUUAUGAGUGUGGAAUCUAUUUAUGAGUAACAAAAUGUACUUUUACCCAGCAAUGAGUGCCAGAGGCAUAAUUUUAAGUGAGGGCAGAAGAAUCCUUCUGACUUUUCUCUCUGAACUAUGUUUGGUAGCAACAGUCAGAUGCUGAUGCUACCCACACUGGCUCUGAGGCAAUAUGCCAGUGGUGCAUGUACAGACAUCACUCAUAUACAAACCCCCUAGUUUGUGCUGAAUAAAUGGGUGGGUGGAGGAGAUACUGAGAAUGCUCCUCAAGGAACAUGGCUGUAGCCACAUGUUGUCUGCAGUCUGAGGAGACACAGAGGUCAGUGACCACUGAUUGUCUACUGAGUCCAUGAUGUCUGCAGUCUGAGGAAGGAGACACAGAGGUCAGUGGCCACUGAUGGUCUUCUAAAGGCUCCUCCAUACUCUGAAAUAGUUUAGGAAAAACUACUAUUUUCUGAUUCCUCCAGUUGCAGCCGAAGGACUGAAAAAAAUCUCUCUCCUUGUUAUUCAAUACCCGUGUGCACUGAUUUGUCCCUACAGUCUGUGAAAUGUGUCUCACAGUGAGGAAGUGAUCGCUGAGCACAUACUAGUGAGUGAGGAAUCAAACAAACAACUGGUAGGGAAAAGGAAAAAGAAAGAGAUAAAAUAGACUAACUCCAGGGCUGGGCAUGGUGGUGCAUUCCUUUGUUCCCAACACUUGGGAGGCAGAGACAAGCAGGUCUGUGUGAGCUUGAGGCUAGCCUGGUCUACAUCGAAAGUUCAAGGUCAGCCAGGGCUACAUAGUGAGGCUGUGUCUCAGACAAGCAAACUCUAAGGCCGCAGCUAUUGGUUUGGUUGCCUAGGGGUUUCUCAUUUGGGAGAAACAGUCCCAGGUCCCAGCUACCAAGGAAAGUUCUGCUUUGAAAUCCUUUGGGGAAUGAGCAUCAUAAAAUGCAAAUAGCAGCAAAAGCAAGGGAAGCCACAUAAUCCUCAAAGUUUAAAAACUUCCCUAAUCACUACAUGGCUAAACGCCCUGAGGUGUGUUUGAUCACAGUGGUCUGUUCCCAGGAGCUCUUGGGGCAGCUUUAUUGGAUGGUGGUCGUUUUGCCUUGACUGCUGGAUGGAGAUUUUGUUUUGUUUUUCCUUUUUUUUUUUGAUAGUCUAAUGUAGUAUAUAGAUUGGCCUUCCACAUGUUACGUAGCCAACGACCCUGAACUUGUGAUCCUCCUACCCCUACCUCCCGAGUGCUGGAUCGCAUGUGUGACCACUCUUGGUUUCUGCAGUGCUGGAUGAUGGUCCCCAGGACUUCCUGCAUGCCAGGUAAGUGCCCUGGCACUUGAGCUUCACCCCUAGCCCCACUGGUAGAAUAUUUAUUCCAACUGUGCCAGAAAAUGUGAACUUUUACCAGCCGUUCAAAUGGCUGUUUCUUCCUUUUAGCCCUGCUCAGCAAAGUAAGUUACAGGCAGGAGAUCAAGGAGUGAAGAGGUGGCCCAUGCCCCCUUGGAUUAUUUCAGGAGGCACCAGGGAGUCAGCUGGAGUACUUUAGUAGCCAUUGCUCCAUCCAUUCCAAUUUCCUCUGCUCCCAUCUAUCCACUUGACCAAGUAUACCCCAGCUAGGUCCCCCACUAACAGGACAUUGAGCCUGUGAAAGAACCACUCGAGAGGACACAUGGCCCCAGGUAUGGGAAACACCCAGAGAACAGGAUGACACUAGACAACUCUAUUACAUCUAUGUUCUACCCCAGUGACCCAAAGUGAUGCUGCUUUCACAAAUGCCCUGCCUCUCCGAGGUCUCUACUUCCACUAAGUUGCCCCACAUAUAGUCCACUAUGUGUCUUCUAGCUGGUACUUCUGCAGGCCCAUGGCUUCAUCCGUGUACUACAGGCCAUCAGAGUGAGCUGUGCCCCAAAUAGCCCACCUACCUCUUGCCUCUGUGUUGAAUCCACCUGACUUCCUGCUUUCCAAGGAAAUAAGCCCUCCUAUCUCUUUGGAUACCAAGGAGACCCUCUCUGCCUUCCUGGUGAUGUCCUUAGCUGCAUGAUUCAUUCUGUUAAACUUCCCUAGGGACACUAAAUCCCCCAGAUGCCCCGAGAUGCUCUUGAAUUGCGUCCACCAGACCUCAUGCACAUCUCCUCAUUGUGGCAGUGUGCUCACACGGCAGCUGUCUUUGUGCCCUCUGGGAUACCAGGUGAGUCAUGCCAUGUCUACUAAAUGAGGAAGAAAGCCUUUAGCUCCGUCUUUUCCUUUUAAAUGAGUUCUAUUUUACUCUGUUAUGAUGUGUGAGCCAUUAAAACUUUCCAGAAGGCAGGAUAUGAAAAAAAUAACCUUUGUAAAUAGUAGAUACAUGAUGUCUUAGUUUUAUAGGGAGAGAAACCAGGUUGCUAGGCAACUGGAGAGAAAUCUAGCCAACCUCUUUCCUACCUCCCAGCUCCUCCCUAGACAAUUGUCAGGUUCUUCCAUUUUCGGUUUUUUGUUUUUUUUUUUUUUCAGAGUUGGGGACCGAACCCAGGGCCUUGCGCUUGCUAGGCAAGCGCUCUGCCACUGAGCUAAAUCCCCAACCCCACAUUUUCGUUUUUUUAUGUUUGAAUUUACAAGUUACCUCUGUGUGUUUGUGGCACUUGUUUAUGAAUGGAACACACACACACACACACACACACACACACACACACACUCACACACACACACACACACACGAGUACAGCAAGCAUAGUAGUAUAUACUUACCCCAGCAUUUAGAGUUAGAGGCCGGGCUGGGCUACACACUUCCACAUUAUCUCAAAAUGACAAAAAACUAUUCAUUAUUCUCUGUGCAUCUGGGGUUUGAGCAUGUAAACACUAUUUGGAUUUCACGAGGGGAAUAUGGAACCUUGAAAAAGUCUAUUUUUAUUGGGAAUUUAAGGCAACUGUUUGGUCUAUCAAAGGCCACUUUUUUUUUCUUUUUUCUUUUUUUUUUUCGGAGCUGGGGACCGAACCCAGGGCCUUGCGCUUCCUAGGCAAGCGCUCUACCACUGAGCUAAAUCCCCAACCCCCAAAGGCCACUUUUAUAUGGAUUGGAUAAUGGGCAUCUCGUAGCCCUGAUUUUGUUCAUAGAAGAAUACAAAAAUAUCAAUAAAUGUAAAAUAUGGGGAGUUUAAGAAAGAAAGAAAGAAAGGGCACAAGACAUGAUACAAGAAGGUUCAAGCUUUUGUGUGACGCACUAGGCCUGUUCGUACACUAGACCAUUUUGCUCGCCAGUGCUAUGAGAUAGGUGCUAUUAUUUCUGCUUUUCACAGAUAAGGAAACCGAGACUCUGACUCUUACAACUGGCAAGGGGAAGAGCUGAAACCUGGGAAUUGGUAGUGAGGCUCAUGCAGCAACAGAGCCUUUCAUGGGCACAACUGCUGCCAAUCUGUAUGAAUGUGAGAGGUGGGCGUCUCUUAGCUUCUUGCUACUUUUUAAAACAAGACCCUGGGAUGCCAAGUAAUGGCAUCAUCUUUUGCUUAGGGAUACCUGAAGGGCAGGCUGGAAGCAAGCAUAGAUUAACAUGUCUACCCAUCAAUCUCUUCAUCCACCCACCUGUGUACCAUCCACCUACACAUCCAUCCAGCCAUGCACCAUUCACCUAUCCAUCUACCUGCCUGUCCAUUCAUUUAAUCACCACCCAUCCAUCUGUCCAUCCAUCCAUCCAUCCAUCUAUCCCUUCAUCACCUAUCCAUCUAUCUGUCUUUUCACCUAACCAAGUAUAUUCCAUCCAUCUAUCCAUCUACAUAUCCACCCAUGUGGGAAACAUGUGUUGGAGAUUGGUUCUAAUGUUUUGAUUCAUUCAGCAAUCUGCGUGUCCCUAGUUGGUUUUUGGUCAAUCAAUAAAGAUAACAGCAGUCAAUGGCUGGGUAAAGGGAGAUGGGGAUGGGACCCUUAGACUUGCAAGGGCUAGGACACAGUGAGGAGCAAAGGAGAAUCACCAUGACUUGGGGAAGAAGGGUGGGACACAGGAGCAGCCAGAGAUAAAGCAAGCCAGUCAUGUCAGAUUUCAGGUAAGUGGGCACUGGCCACCAGCAGAUCCAAAGACAGCUCACGGGAGGGUUUGUGCAUGUGAUCCACUGAGAACACAGUGAUAAAGCCAAAAUUCCCACUGAGAAUAGAAGCAUCUAGAGAAAUUGUAAUUACUUACUUAAUUAAUUUUAUUUUAUGCAUUUGAGUGUUUUGAUUUCAUGUAUAAACAUCCAUCUCAUGUGUGUCUGGAACCAGCAUCUGAAUCUAUGGAACUGGAGUUACAGGCAUCUGUAAGCCACCAUGGGGGGUACUGAGAGUUGAACCAGUGUCCUCUGCAAGAGCAACAAGUGCUCUUAACUGCUGAGCCACCUCUCCAGCUCAUUUAGAAGACUUUAAAACCUAUUCACCUGGCUAAAGCAAACAAGGGUUAAAGGAAGAUAAACAACACUCAGUUUAUGUGUAUGUGUGGUGAAGUUCAGAAGGCCGCCAAGGUGAUGUGUAAUGGGCUCUUUUUCAAGUCUCAGUUAACAAAUCUAGAUGUCAAGACAGGGCAAGAUGAAGCCAGAAGCUGAUUCCGCCUCUUCCUGCAGCCAUCCAGAGCCAGUGUCACUCUGUCCCACUCUAGCCUGGGACUCAGAAGAUAAGGAAGUAGGUAGAGGUGGUGGCUACCACUGAGGCUCCCUCAUGCCUGAAGCGUGAGAACCAAGUCUCUAGCUCAAAAAUCCCCCUACGACAACUCCUGCAGGCUGGGCUCUAAGCAAUAAUUAAAAGUGUAGUUGGAUCUUUAGUCAUAAGGGAAAUGCAAAUCAAAACAACCCUGAGAUUUCACCUCACACCAGUGAGAAUGGCUAAGAUCAAAAACUUAGGUGACAGCAAAUGCUGGCGAGGAUGCGGAGAAAGAGGAACACUCCUCCAUUGUUGGUGGGAUUGCAGACUGGUACAACCAUUCUGGAAAUCAGUCUGGAAGUUCCUCAGAAAAUUGGACAUUGAACUGCCUGAGGAUCCAGCUAUACCUCUCUUGGGCAUAUACCCAAAAGAUGCCCCAACAUAUAAAAAAGACAUGUGCUCCACUAUGUUCAUUGCAGCCUUAUUUAUAAUAGCCAGAAGCUGGAAAGAACCCAGAUGCCCUUCAACAGAGGAAUGGAUACAGAAAAUGUGGUACAUCUACACAAUGGAAUAUUACUCAGCUAUCAAAAACAAUGACUUUAUGAAAUUUGUAGGCAAAUGGUUGGAACUGGAAAAUAUCAUCCUGAGUGAGGUAACCCAAUCACAGAAAAACACACAUGGUAUGCACUCAUUGAUAAGUGGCUAUUAGCCCAAAUGCUUGAAUUACCCUAGAUGCCUAGAACAAAUGAAACUCAAGACGGAUGAUCAAAAUGUGAAUGUUUCAUUCCUUCUUUAAAAGGGGAACAAGAAUACCCUUGGCAGGGAAGAGAGAGGCAAAGAUUAAAACAGACACAGAAGGAACACCCAUUCAGAGCCUGCUCCACAUGUGGCCCAUACAUAUACAGCCACCCAAUUAGACAAGAUGGAUGAAGCAAAGAAGUGCAGGCCGACAGGAGCCGGAUGUAGAUCGCUCCUGAGAGACAUAGCCAGAAUACAGCAAAUACAGAGGCGAAUGCCAGCAGCAAACCACUGAACUGAGAACGUGACUCCCGUUGAAGGAAUCAGAGAAAGAACUCGAAGAGCUUGAAGGAGCUCGAGACCCCUUAUGAACAACAAUGCCAAGCAACCAGAGCUUCCAGGGACUAAGCCACUACCUAAAGACUAUACAUGGACUGACCCUGGACUCUGACCUCAUGGGUAGCAAUGAAUAUCCUAGUAAGAGCACCAGUGGAAGGGGAAGCCCUAGGUCCUGCUAAGACUGAACCCCCAGUGAACGUGAUUGUUGGGGGGAGGGCGGCAAUGGGGCGAGGAUGGGGAGUGGAACACCUAUAAAGAAGGGGACGGGGGGAGGGAUUAGGGGGAUGUUUGCCCAGAAACCGGGAAAGGGAAUAACACUCGAAAUGUAAAUAAGAAAUACUCAAGUUAAUUAAAAAAAAAAAGUGUAGUUGGUCAUACUGGUGUAAGGCUUUAAUCCCAGAGCUCCAGAGGCAGGUAGAUUUCUGUGAAUUCAGGGCCAGAUUGGUAUACAAAGAGAGGCCAGUCAGGGCUACAGAGAGAGAGAGACACUGUUUCAAAAAAAAAAAAACCAAAUAUAUAGUAAAAAUAUAAUUUUAA